AUUGAACGCUGGCGGCAGGCCUAACACAUGCAAGUCGAGCGGCAGCACGGGUACUUGUACCCGGUGGCGAGCGGCGGACGGGUGAGUAAUGCCUAGGAAUCUGCCUGGUAGUGGGGGAUAACGCUCGGAAACGGACGCUAAUACCGCAUACGUCCUACGGGAGAAAGCAGGGGACCUUCGGGCCUUGCGCUAUCAGAUGAGCCUAGGUCGGAUUAGCUAGUUGGUGAGGUAACGGCUCACCAAGGCGACGAUCCGUAACUGGUCUGAGAGGAUGAUCAGUCACACUGGAACUGAGACACGGUCCAGACUCCUACGGGAGGCAGCAGUGGGGAAUAUUGGACAAUGGGCGAAAGCCUGAUCCAGCCAUGCCGCGUGUGUGAAGAAGGUCUUCGGAUUGUAAAGCACUUUAAGUUGGGAGGAAGGGCAGUUACCUAAUACGUAUCUGUUUUGACGUUACCGACAGAAUAAGCACCGGCUAACUCUGUG
rnacentral:rRNA from 1 species